AUGAUAAUAGUUCGCUUUAAAGUCUGAAAUCCAAAACAAUAAUUAAUAAACUGGGCGGCUCAUUCACUGAUAAAUAAUUGGGCUCCAUCAAAAUAAUUACUGCAAGGCUUAACUUAAGAAGUAGCUUCAGCCCAAGUGAUGAUAGAAAUUAAUGUGGGCUGGAAAGAAUAAAUCUCAGUUCAAUAGGCAAUUUAAUCGGCCCAAAUGAUGAAUUAAACUGGCCCAACGAAAUAUAAAUGGGAUUAGAAUAAUAGCCCAUCGUAAAAUAAGCAUCAGUCCAAUCUUUAAAAUAAUUCAAGCCCAAUAGAAAUAAUGGGAAUGGCCAUUUAAAUUAAAGACUGGCCCAUUUCGAAUUUAUUUGUGAAAGCCCAAGCAAUUAAAAUAAAAUCAAGCCCAGCUUAAAAUAAUUCGGCCCACAAUAAAUUAAAAGGAAAAGCCCAAUUACCUUAAAACAAGCUAAAAAUUCGGCCCAACUUAAAUAAAAAGAAGCCCAAAUCUUUAAAACACAAGCUCAAAAUUUUCGGCCCAACUUAAAAAAAAUAAAUUAGGCCCAAAUUAAAUUAAAAUCAGAGGCCCAUAAGUAACUAAAAUCAGCCCAAUUUAAAUUAAAAUCAGAGGCCCAUACAGUAAUUAAAAUCGGCCCAAAAUUUAUAUAACUGAAGGCUGAACUAUUAAUUAAAAUUGAGUCCAUGUUAAAUAAAAAGAGCAGUCCAGACUAAUUAAAAUCAUUUAAACGAGCCCAACAAAAAUAGCCCCAAAACUCAAGCCCAAACUGACUUAAGCCCAUUCACUUUCCUUCUACAUUUUCGGCCCAACAGAACAACUCAAGCCCAACAUAAAAUGCAUCGGCCCAAAUAACAUAAGAAAAUAGGCCCAACAAUUAAAUAAAAGAAAGCCCAAAUGAUUAACAAAAAAAUAGGGUAAGCCCAAAACAUAGCCCAAUCUCUCUCUCUUUCUAAACUCUCGAUCUCUCUCUCAUUCUCAAGGGGGCCGCUCUUCCUUCUUCUUCAAAGCCGAUCUCUCUCUCUCUCUGCCAAAUUCUGGUCGGCUGCGCCUACUCCGGCCGUUCAGCCGUCAUAUGCUCCGAUCAGCUUCGAUCGGCGACGCGUCAAACACCGGCGUUGCUCUCUCUCUUCAUCGCAGAACCUAGCCGAGCCCUAACUCUGGAAAUCAUCGCCGCUGUCGCACCUCCGUCUGGAAUCCGGCGAGCGGUCGUCGUCUGGGAGUGGCGCCGUCCAACUCCCGUCCUCCUAUCCCUCUCCGACGUCGAGCCCUAGAUUUCAGAAAAGGGAAGGACGCCGCUGUCGAGCGUCCGCGUUUGCUGCACUCGAGCCCCUGCUCGGCUCUGAUCUGAUCGGCGUCAGCUGCCUCCGGCGAUUCUCUCCACCGGCGACUGGAGUAAGAAGGCCUACGCCUCUCACCGCGUCGCUGCUGCCCCUGGACGCUGCUGCUGCGCACAAGUCUCAGCUCGUCGCCGGGCAGCUGCUGUUCGGGGCCCUGAUGAGGUUGGGCGAGUUCGCCCUGUCCCGACCGUCGUCGUCGUCCCCGUCGGGCUGUCAGCCCUUCUUUCCGAUGCAGGCAAGACGACGAGAGUUCGCCGUUUUCAUUCUUCGUUCCAGCAGUUGAGGCUGAACUUAUGAAGGAAAUGGAGGGAUUUAAGCCUAGGCUUACCUCUGGCAGCACAAUGAAUCUCCCUUUUCGUUUGAUUGCCGAUGCGCCAAUGAAGAAAAUGAGAGGAAUGCUAGCUUAAAAAGAGAUUAUAUGAGAAGGAGUUGUUGGUUGAUGGGAGUUGAUAUUAAAAGAGGGCGGCUGAAGAGAUGGGGAACAAGGGUGGUGGGCAGCACACUCAUUUUCUUUCUCUCAACUUUAAUGAUUUUUAUGGUAGUGGUGGGGAGGUAAGAGUGAGUGGAAAUUGAAGGGGAUUGGAGGCUGCUGCAGAUUUUGCACAGCCCCACACAUUUCAUAUCUCUCUAUCUUCUUUUCUUUUAUUGACUUUUCUUCCUUUGAUUGUUAAUACUUUAGUGAGUGGCAGUAAGUGGCCACGUAGAGUACAAAAUCUUUGUGAUAUACUAGACGAUUUUCCCCAA